rnacentral:rRNA from 1 species
UACGUAGGGUGCAAGCGUUGCCCCGGAUUUAUUGGGCGUAAAGGGCGCGUAGGCGGCACUGUUAGUCAGGCGUGAAAGUCCUGGGCUCAACCUGGGAACUGCGCUUGAUACGGCAGAGCUAGAGGAUGGAAGAGGGUCGCGGAAUUCCCAGUGUAGAGGUGAAAUUCGUAGAGAUCCGGAGGAACACCAGUGGCGAAGGCGACACGCUGGGCCAUACCUGACGCUAAAGCGCGACAGCAUGGGGAGCAAACAGG